CACAUCAGUUAAUCCUGGAAGCCAGCUUUG
rnacentral:piRNA from 1 species